rnacentral:rRNA from 1 species
AUUGAACGCUGGCGGCAGGCCUAACACAUUCAAGUCGAGCGGAUGAAGAGAGCUUGCUCUCUGAUCUAGCGGCGGACGGGUGAGUAAUGCCUAGGAAUCCGCCUGGUCGUGGGGGAUAACGUCCGGACACGGGCGCUAAUACCGCCUACGUCCUACGGGAGAAGCCAGGGGACAUUCGGCCGUGGCGCUGUCAGAGGAGCCUGGGUCGGAUUAGCAAGUUGGUGAGGUAAUGGCUCACCAAGGCUACGAUCCGUAACUGGUCUGAGAGGAUGAUCAGUCACACCGGCACUGAGACACGGUCCAGACGCCUACGGGAGGCAGCAGUGGGGAAUAUUGGACAAUGGGCGGAAGCCUGAUCCAGCCAUGCCGCGUGUGUGAAGAAGGCCGUUUGGUUGUAAAGCACUUUCAGCGAGGAGGAGGCUACUAGUACUAAUACUACUGGAAAGUGGACGUUACUCGCAGAAUAAGCACCGGCUAACUCUGUGCCAGCCGCCGCCAUAAAAC